CGCAAUGAGUCGUUGAGGUAAAAAAUGCCUCAGCCAAAAGUGAAGAGAGGAAGGGUUUUUUUUUCCUAAGUACACAAACCAGCAAAACUGGCUAGUUUAGCCAGCACCAAUGAUUUAAGAAGUGCUUGUCAGACUACACCCCAGUGCUGGAGCUGUCCUUAUCAGCAAUGACUGGCAAACAGCUCUUAUGUGAUUGCUUACUCUCGUUCCUGAGUUCUGGUUUUGAGUAUAGGGCAAUGAUUGCAUGAGGACCUGUAGCCUGAGAAAACCUCCAGACAAAUUUCUAUACAGACGUUCCCAGCUGAGAGGAGUUUAGUUUGCCUGUGGAAGAAAUCAAAAUAUGUCGAUAUUGUUAAAGGAGAGGAUGCUACAGGAGAGAAAUGGUGGCAUUCUUUUUUGAAAGCAUGGGAGCAGAUGUACCCUUGGAGUGAACCCUACCUGAAUGGAUGAAGUUGUUCCCAGCUUUUAGCAACAAUGCUUUAUAACUAGAGCCACGGGAGGGAAAGUCUCCCUGGUCUUUUGUUAUUUUGAUAAAGCUCCUAAUACCAAAGAGCCAACAUAAUUGCCACCCAUCCCUGGAGAUAAGUGAGAGAGAUGGUAAGCAGAUGUCAAAGUCUCAAAACAAAGGAUCCACUUCACAGGGGCCUAACAGCCAGAAUCCUAGCUUGCACAUUCACCACCUGUUGUCUACCAUCCAUUACUCAUAUCAAGUAAGAAUUUGCUCCCAGAACAGGGCUUUUGCUGGCGGAAGUUUUAAAUAAAGAAGUGAAAUACCAGGCAGUUCCUAAAAUGGGAAAGAAGCAUUGGUAUGCAUGGUGGAAGUGGUCUUGUGAAAUAGAAUGAAAGUUGAGGAAGCUGAGGAGACAUGGAAAUGGUUCUGAAGGACUAUGGGAAGCAAAAGUUAAAGAAGAGCUGCAGGGAACCUUGACCAAACCAUUCUUCAUGCCUCAUUAACCUACCAGUUUGUUUUUAAGACAUUCGCUUACAUUCUCUCUGACUUUUACCAUCAAACUCUUUCAAAGCAAGACGCUCAGCUGCCAAUACAGAAGGUUCCCAUCCCCUACAGGGGUCAGCAAAUUAUUUUCUGCAGUACUGCAGGGCUUCUCUGUGGCCACUUCUGGGUGUUACAAACAGCCCCACAGCCGCUGAAUGUGUCAGCCCCCCUGCUGAGGCUGCCAGAAGAAGUGCUAAUGCUGUUUGUGUAAUCUAAUGCAAACAUCUGUCCAUUAGCAACUGGAGAAGAGCCACCAGUGUCACACCCCACAGCUGCCGGCCAGUAUGCAGACGCUCACAAUUUCCAGUUGCUGGAAAUGAGCUGGAUUCAACCCAAUAAUCUGGUGGUAAAUGUCUCUGUGCCCCUCCAAAUUAUAAGAGUGUGGCUGUUAGGUGGCUUUUGAUUUCAUUUUGAUAUGACACAAAUUGGAAAGUGUAUGUGCUGGCUGAGGGACAGUGGAAGAAGAAUAAAAAUCAGAAAAGCAACA
rnacentral:lncRNA from 1 species